GAUAGAAUCUUGUGGAGUGCAGCAAAGCAUAGUGUAGUGAUAACAAACUCCAUGAAAUAUCCAGAAGACUCUGACCUCAUUCUGGAGCCAGCCAUGUAGGCUAGUAGGAGGCCGAGCAAGUUCAUGACCAUGGUUAAAUGCAUCACCUUAAACGACCGGUUCUCCCUUAGCAGUUUCUCCGGUAGCAACAGGAUGAUAACAACAAUGGAUGCCAUGAAGGAAAAAGAGUUGCUGUAAAAGAAGAUGAGGUAACGGUACCUUCUGUUGUCAUGCAUAACUGGGUCACCGGCUGCAUGACCAUUGCUAUUGCCCUGCCACACACCCCCAGGUGGGUUGAGGCCGGCCUGGUAAGUAACACUUGCCGCCAAGACUGCUAACAACAUCAAGUAUUUGCGUGUUGCAUGUUUCUUUUUUGAGUCUUCCUCUGUCCUGAGAGAGUCUGUGUCUGAUUCCACUGUGCUGUCAUCUUCCUUUGUUUUAGGGGACUUUGCUGCUGUGUUAUCUUCUUUUAUUUCAUCAACAGACUUUGUCUCAGUGAAGGCUUCUUGUUUCACAGGGGUCUUAACUCCACUUCCUGUCUCUAAAUCUUCUUCGUUGGUUGACAUGCUUCCUGUAUUGACAUCUCUAUGAUAGAAACAUAUUAGGACUAAGAUCAUAAUGAAGAGCACUAAAGCUACCAACCCGAAGAUAUAUAUGGAUGUUUUUAGGUGUUGGGUGCUUCCGGCAGCAUAGGCACACAUGAGAGCAAACAUGCCUACCGCUGUGCAAACUGAGAGAGCAUAGCUUCGUAUGGCUGGUCUGUACAGGAUUGGGUUCACAAGGAGUAUAAUGAGUGCAAUCGAUGACAUGAAGCUCACUGAGUUGCAGUAGAAGAACGCCUUAUAACGGCUUGGAUAGUUGUAAAAGAUGACAGGGUCGCCUGCAUUGUGCCCAAACUCAUCAUCCUUCAGACGAAACCCGCCUGGUGGGGUCAACCCAGCUUGAUAAGUGAGGGUCGCACCCAACACAGCAAAAAGGAGCAACCUCUUGCGCCUCUUGUCCUCAAGCUUCCUGUCCUUGUCCCCACCCUUCUUUCCUAUGUCCUCAUCUUCAAGUGUGACGAACAGAACAUGAAUAAUCACAUAGACUAGGACAGCUCCAGCCAAGGCAAUGACAUAAAUGGAUGUGGUUACAUCUCUGCAGCUCCCAGCAGAGUAUGCACCAAUUAGGCCAAACAAAUCCAGUAUCAUGGCAAACUGUAGUAUGCGGCGCUUGAGCAUAGGUUUAUACUGGACCAAGAUGAUGAUGACCAAGGACGCUGCAAAGGCCAUUGAGUUGCAGUAAAAAAAUACCUUGUAACGUUCUGGUUGCAUGGAUAGGAGUAUUGGAUCGCCAGCCUCAUGUCCGUUCCAGUUGUCCUGCCAAACACCACCUGGUGGGACUAGUCCUGCUUGGUAUGUGACAGUUGCUACAAGAGUGGAAAGCAGUACAACAAGAGAUUGAGCCUUCUCCAGAAUAUCCGCAUUGCUUAAAAAUAUACAUGCAUUCCAUACCUGUCACUUGAAUCUGACUGAUGGAAUAUAAUUGUCUUGAGGACAAUAAUGCAUGCAAGAACGGCAAAAACUAGACUGCCCACAUAGAUGGUAGUGUCACUUUCUCGGCUGCUUCCGGUGGCAUAGGCCCCCGCAAGACCGACAAGAGCAAUAGAGAUGUAUGCUUUGAGCAC
rnacentral:sRNA from 1 species